GGCAAAUAUUAUGAGGAAAGGUAUUUGCAGCUGUGAGACCUUAACACCGUGUGUAUUUGUCUCCUAAUACAAACAAAACACAUCAUUCCAUUUAACUUGCUAAAUUUAGGACAAAAAAACUUGCCAAAUUUUAACACCCGGUGGAAGUCUUAAUAGCGCGUGUGGAAUCUGCACAAAUAAUUAAAAAAUACACUAAAGAAAAGGCAUAAAUUACACACUAACAUGAACUAAAC
rnacentral:misc_RNA from 1 species